rnacentral:rRNA from 1 species
UGCCAGCAGCCGCGGUAAUACGAAGGGGGCUAGCGUUGUUCGGAAUCACUGGGCGUAAAGCGCACGUAGGCUGACUGGUCAGUUGGGGGUGAAAUCCCGGGGCUCAACCCCGGAACUGCCUCUAAUACUGCUAGUCUUGAGUUCGAGAGAGGUGAGUGGAAUUCCGAGUGUAGAGGUGAAAUUCGUAGAUAUCAGGAGGAACACCGAUGGCGAAGGCAUCUCUCUGGGCCGAUAUUGACGCUGAGGCGCGAAGGCAUGGGUAGCGAACGGGAUUAGAUA